UACGGAGAGGGCGAGCGUUACUCGGAAUCACUGGGCGUAAAGGGUGCGUAGGCGGGUAAGGAAGCCUGAUGUGAAAACUCCACGGCUCAACCGGGAGAUUGCAUUGGGAACUCCUUACCUAGAGGGUGCGAGAGGAUAGCGGAAUUCCUGGUGUAGCGGUGGAAUGCGUAGAUAUCAGGAGGAACACCGGAGGCGAAAGCGGCUAUCUGGCGCACACCUGACGCUGAGGCACGAAAGCUAGGGGAGCAAACAGG
rnacentral:rRNA from 1 species